CUCUGGCCAGCCUUCGGUUAGAGAUGGCCAGAUGGCUCGUUUUAGCCCUUUGGCCCUCCAAGAAAUUAAUAUUUUAAUGAACAGUGCAGAGCCAUAUUUCUUACCAUCUCCAACCGAGGGCUAAAGGACCAUAGAGCUCGUUUUAGCACUGUCACAAAAAACCAUCUCCAAUCGAGGGUCAAGGGGCCAAACAUAAUUUAUUAUUUAAAUUAAAAAAACUACAACAACUUAAAUUUAAAAACUACAACUAAUAUUUAAAAAAUACAACUUAAAUUUAAUAACUGCAAGUAAAAUUUUAAAAAAUACAACUUAUAUAUUUCAAGUCAAAUGUGAGAGGUUUUAUUUAAAGUAUAGAAAAAAAAGAGGGAAGUGGGUGGGAAAGUCCACAUCGGUUGUGGGAGAGGAAGUAGACAAAAAAAAAAAUGGAAGUGGGUGGGAGAGUCCCACAUCGGCUAUGGGAGGGGAAGUAUAAAAAAAAAAAUGGAAGUGGGUGGGAGUCCCACAUCGGCUGUGGGAGAGAUUUGAGCAAGCUCCAAAGCCUAUAAAAAGAACACCCAAACAUUCAACUAAACAUACUCUCUGGGCCUGUAAUUAAAUAUAUAUUUUUUAAAAAUGUUGACCCAAAAAAAAAAAAAAAAAAUCAAAUAACAGUAACUGACGUCAGCUCGCCGAUGGUUUCAAAUUUAUGGCCCGACCUGGGGCUAGCUGGCUGGCUCCUUUGGGCUAGCCGGUUGGCCCUUUUGCCCUUUUUUGUUUGGUGGGGUCCACAAGCCCUUUGGCCUAGCCCUCGGUUGGAGAUGGUUUUUGGGCUAUUUUCGACCCUCUGGACCCUGCGGUUGAAGAUAGCCUAAGAAUUAUAAUUCUUUGAGGACCAAAACGACCCAUCUAACCAGCUUUCAGUUGGGGAUGGCCUUACAUCCCUAGCAACAACAACAACAAUAAAUAUAAAAUUGCUAGAGGAAAACCUAGAGAAACCCCUAGGCUUGAAAAAGCAGAAAAUGGUUUAGAACUCAACCUUUCACCUAUUCAGCCGGAUAUGUGGCCUGAAGCAGUUGAUAAAUGGGAAGACGCACUUAAGCGUGAAUAUGUUAGAUUAACAAAGACUUUCUCCAAAACUGAAGAUUUAUGGGAAUGGGGAGAAUCGUUCUUAGGUCAAGAUUUUAAGAAGGCCUAUGAAAAUUUUAGGUUCAGAUACCCUGAAACUAUACAACACAGGAUAUCUCAAGAUUUAAAUAUAAAUAACUUUGUUAAUACAGUUAGAGAAAUAGCCACCGGUGAUACUAGUCCUUACAGACUUAGUUCACCAAUUCAGAAACGCGCUAUAGACGCUUCAAUAGGAAGAACGUUACUGCUUUUUCUAAAGAGUUUUUAAGACUUGCUAGUAUAGGAGGAGUAGUUUAUGAUAAACCAGUUUGCGUUUUAUAUCUUGCAAAAUUGGUUCAAGAUCUAGGACAAGCAAUUAAGGAUAGAUUUUAUAAAGAAGAAGAAGCAGCUCUAGCAGCAGCAACCACUGACGAACAGCGUAAGAUUUUGAAUACUUUUAAAUAUUCUAAUCUUAGCUAUGUUAUAAGAUUCACCUUUUUGCAGCUUGCUGAUUUCUGCAGACAGCGUUAAGAAAUCCAACAAGCUAAGAAGCUUAUAGACCAAAGUACAUGUAGAGGUUUAUGUCAAGAAGGAUAUAGUGAUCUUCGUGAAAUUAUAUAAAAGAACGAAGAGAAAACAAGUUAGACGUCCAGUUCAAAAAUAAAAUAGAACUACACAACCAUUUAGGCAACCGUUCAACAGACGACCUAAUUUUAGGACGUUUAAGAACAUUAGGCCUAGUCAGAAUUUUAGGAGAAAUUUCAAUCCUAGGAAGCAUGUUAAGAAAUUUAAACCUAACCCUAGGAAACCAUAUAAAAAUAAGUGUGCCAGCUAUAUAUGUAAUAGCGAAGAACAUCUCGCCAAUGUAUGUCCACAGCGAGGUAAGCAACCAGCCUAUAACCAGUUGCUUAAUGAAUGCAUUAUUAUUUCAGCAGAUUCUGAUUAUGACAGUGAUGAUUCUGUUUAUAGUAUUUUCACUGAUGUAGAAUUUAUAGAUGCUCAAGAUGACUCCCUAUCAGAGUUCUCUGGGUAUGACGAUGUACAGCCUGAAGACGAAGAAUAUGAAGACUUCGACUUCUUGCCAAGCGAAUCUGGAGACUUCAAUAUUGAUAGUUUUCAGAACAUGAUAGAUGGCCUGUGAACAUAUAUUCACACCAUAUGAAGGAAGCCUCGAUGAGCGGUGCCGUUUUUGUGGAGGAUGGCCUGGUUACGAGUGUAAGGACAUUCGACUUUUUCUGGAGCAACACAUGAUGCAACGGACGAAUUUUGGGUUAGAGCUCUUCUGUAAUUAUGUUCGGGACAUCUCAAGCUUUAAUUCUAGCCUUUUUGGGCCUGUUUUGGAGCCUUGGAAGUAAAAAAAUGUGGCUGAUUUGUGGCUGGACAGAUUUCCCAAAGUUAGAAUAGGAAUGUAUUUCCUAAUUAUCUUAUUUUAUUAUAUUUUCUAGUUUUUAGAAGACCUGUUCUACUAAGGAUUUUAAUUAUGUAAUAGUAUAAAUAAGGUUUUUUAGCCAUUAGGGUUAGAGGACAAAAAGAGAGGAGAAGAACACAUAAAAUUUUGGAGAACUUUGCUAGGCUUUGAAGAUUUGUAUUUCAAUGUGUUUUCUAUCCUUAUUUUUAAUAAUAUUUUAUUUUAUGAUUGGUAGUAA